GACGAACGCUGGCGGCGUGCCUAAUACAUGCAAGUAGAACGCUGAAGGGGGAGCUUGCUUCUCUGGACGAGUUGCGAACGGGUGAGUAACGCGUAGGUAACCUGCCUGGUAGCGGGGGAUAACUAUUGGAAACGAUAGCUAAUACCGCAUAAGAGUAGAUGUCGCAUGACAUUUGCUUAAAAGGUGCAAUUGCAUCACUACCAGAUGGACCUGCGUUGUAUUAGCUAGUUGGUGAGGUAACGGCUCACCAAGGCAACGAUACAUAGCCGACCUGAGAGGGUGAUCGGCCACACUGGGACUGAGACACGGCCCAGACUCCUGCGGGAGGCAGCAGUAGGGAAUCUUCGGCAAUGGACGGAAGUCUGACCGGGCAACGCCGCGUGAGUGAAGAAGGUUUUCGGAUCGUAAAGCUCUGUUGUAAGAGAAGAACGAGAGGGAGAGUGGAAAGUUCACACUGUGACGGUAUCUUACCAGAAAGAGACGGCUAACUACGUG
rnacentral:rRNA from 1 species